UCGAGGAUAUUUAGCAAUGGACGAAAGUCUGACUAUGUGACGCCGCGUGAGGGAUGAAGGUCUUCGGAUCGUAAACCUCUUUCGAUAGGGAAGAAAACCUGUUCUUAACGGAACAGACUGACGGUACCUAGAGAAGAAGCCACGGCCAACUCUGUGCCAGCAGCCGCGGUAAUACAGAGGUGGCGAGCGUUACUCGGAUUUAUUGGGUGUAAAGGGCAAGUAGGCGUCUUGACAAGUUAGGGGUGAAAUCCUGCAGCUUAACUGCAGAACUGCUCUUAAAACUGUUGAGAUUGAGACUGGAAGAGGAAAGCGGAAUUCUCGGUGUAAGAGUGAAAUCUGUAGAUAUCGAGAGGAACACCAGUGGCGAAGGCGGCUUUCUGGUCCAGUACUGACGCUGAGUUGCGAAAGCUAGGGGAGCAAACA
rnacentral:rRNA from 1 species